rnacentral:rRNA from 1 species
CAAGUACCGUGAGGGAAAGUUGCAAAGAACUUUGAAGAGAGAGUUCAAGAGAACGUGAAAUCCUAGCGGUUGAAGCGGAGAGAGUUGACGUAGCUCGGCGGCUAAGCUUACUGUUGUUUUUUCGGAGGCUUCGCUUUGUGGUGUCCGCUUAUAGCUGCGCCGGUAGCGUUGUUCGAGCUUUCUGACCUGGUUAGUGUUGCCCACUUCGGUGGUGUCUUGCUGCCGGCGAGGUCUGCCGUAUUAACGUUUAAUUUGUCUCACGACAAGUACCGGUGUGAAGGUCAGCCACCUUUCCGACCCGUCUUGAAACACGGACCGAGGAGUGUAACUUGUACGCGAGUCAGAGGGUGGAAAACCCUACGGCGCAAUGAAAGUAAAGGUCGGUUAACCGGCUGACAUGGGAUCCGUUCUUCGGAGAGGCGCACCAUGGCCCUGUCUUGAGAGCUUGCUCUUGGGCAGAGGUAGAGCGUACAGGUUGCGACCCGAAAGAUGGUGAACUAUACUUGAGCAGGACGAAGCCAGAGGAAACUCUGGUGGAAGUCCGUAUCGGUUCUGACGUGCAAAUCGAUCGAUAGACUUGAGUAUAGGGGCGAAAGACUAAUCGAACCAUCUAGUAGCUGGUUCCUUCCGA